rnacentral:rRNA from 1 species
AGUGAACGCUGGCGGUAGGCCUAAUACAUGCAAGUCGAACGGCAGCACAGUAAGAGCUUGCUCUUACGGGUGGCGAGUGGCGGACGGGUGAGGAAUACAUCGGAAUCUACUUUUUCGUGGGGGAUAACGUAGGGAAACUUACGCUAAUACCGCAUACGACCUACGGGUGGAAGCAGGGGAUCUUCGGACCUUGCGCGAUUGAAUGAGCCGAUGUCGGAUUAGCUAGUUGGCGGGGUAAAGGCCCACCAAGGCGACGAUCCGUAGCUGGUCUGAGAGGAUGAUCAGCCACACUGGAACUGAGACACGGUCCAGACUCCUACGGGAGGCAGCAGCGGGGAAUAUUGGACAAUGGGCGCAAGCCUGAUCCAGCCAUACCGCGUGGGUGAAGAAGGCCUUCGGGUUGUAAAGCCCUUUUGUUGGGAAAGAAAAGCAGCAGGUUAAUACCCCGCUGUUCUGACGGUACCCAAAGAAUAAGCACCGGCUAACUUCGUG